UGGCCCAGCAGUUAAGGGCACUGACUGCUAUUUCAGAGGACCUGAGUUCAAUUCUCAG
rnacentral:tRNA from 1 species